UUUGGUUAGGAUUUGUUUAAGAUUGGAUUAGGAUUUAUUUAUGAUUGAUUAGGAUUUGAUUAGGAGUUUUUUAGGAUUUGACUAGGAUUUGGUUAGGAUUUGGUUAGGAUUUAUUUAAAAUUGAUUAGGAUUUAGUUAAAGUUUGGUUAGGAUUUGAUUAGGAUUUAUUUAGGAUUUGAUUAGAUUUUAUUAAAGAUUUUAUUAUAAUUUGGUUAGAAUUUGAUUAGAAUUUGAUUAAGAUUUUUUUUAAGAUUUGAUUAGGAUUUAUUUAGGAUUUACUAGGAUUUGGCUAAAAUUUUAUUAGGAUUUGAUUAGAAUUUGGUUAGGAUUUGGUUAGGAUUUGAUUAAGAUUUGAUUAGGAUUUAAUUAGGGUUUGGUUAAGGUUUGGUUAAGGUUUGAUCAAGAUUUGGUUAAGAUUUGGUUAAGUUUUGAUUAAGAUUUGAUUAAAGUUUUGUUAGGAUUUGAUUAAGAUUUGAUUAGGGUUUAAUUAAUAUUUAAUUAAGAUUUGAUUAGGAUUUGACUAGGAUUUGAUUAAGAUUUGGUUAAGAUUUGAUUAAGAUUUAAUUAAUAUUUCUAUUUUAAUAUUUUAUUAAGAUUUUUAUUUUAGUAUAUUUUAAAUUUCUAUAUUAUUUCUUUAUGAUUUCUUUA
rnacentral:lncRNA from 1 species